CCGGCGGCGAUGUGCAGACCUCCGGCCACGGGUGGUGCCGCGGCGAAUAUCCUGCUGACCGCGGCCCGGUGUCCAUCACAAUUGUCGCCGGCGGUUCUGCUAUCGGGGAGGUGGUCUAAAGCCGUGUGAAGAGCCAUGGAGAUUGCGUCUGCCGUUGACCUAUUGUGACGACAGGCAAAUUGCAGUGGGUCCAGGUCCUUGCUGAGGCGGGAGUUCAUUUCAGUCAUAACCAACCUCCCAAAGCAUUUCCUCACUGUCGAUAGCGGCGCAGGCUGAGGUGAGACUGGAUGAACGUUUAUAAGAUUACGAGAGGAAUAGAUAGAGUGGACAGACGAUAUAUUUCUCCUGGGCGUUGAACUGUCUAACACAUUUAAGUUAGACCUGCGGUGAGAGAUUUAUUGGUAGAAAAACCCCAACUGGAAGCAAACCACGACUGAAGACGAGGGAACAGCAACAAGUGAACCAGCCCGAGGAUUGAGAGCAUCAACUGGAGAGGACCCAUCUGACUCGGAGAAUCCAGUGACUCUGUCAGGAGAAAGUUUGGGUACGGAUUUGAAACAAGGGACACAGGAAUCAUCCACCCACACGAGAUUGUUGAAGGUUGGCCGGAUAGGUGGGUUGUUACCCCCGAGAUCAAUCCGCUAGACGAGUUACGGAGCAGCAGUGAAACGUAAAGACAUUGAACCUCGGAUAUCGGUAUUAUUUACGUACUGAUUUUCAGAGUGACCUGGUGAUUAAGGAGAUUAUUCACUCAGUUUUUUUUUUCGUCAUGACAUUGGGCCGUGUUUAUAUUUCGAGGCACAGGCACAUUUCUAUUUUCGAAUGUCUAAAUAAAAUUCGGUGUUAUUUACUUGUAAGUCUUAUUACACGCUUUUAUUUAGUCAGUCCGCACGAAGAGAAAUCUGAUCAAGUUCAAGUUCAGUGGGUUCGUGGAAAAAGAACCUGAAUGAGGAAAAUAGGUGCAGCUUGUAUUCAACAGGUUCAGAUCAUGGAAACCACCGGGGAACAUCAGAUUGGCAAACCAUCAUCACCAACAGCUUUACACAGCCGAGUUGUUUUCCUCUGAUGCCUCCUACUAGGAAUAAAAUAGUAAAUAUAAUUGUCAAAAUACCCCGUAUGCAUGUAAACAUGCAUUAAGUAUACUUAACUUUUGAAUAAAAAUGUAUUUCAAAUAAAUGUGCAUGUCUUUAUUGUUUCAGGUAGACGUUGUAGAAUAAUAUUAAAAAUUAUUACACAUCACUAGUCAGAUUAAUUACCGUCAAAAUGAGAUGUAGUUAAUCAGUUACAGUUCGGCACUUGCAGAAUUACGGAAUAUGCUCAGUGAUAUGUUUGUGUACAAUAAAAAUGAGACAGUUUUUUAAAUGAUUUUUAAAUAAUUUGUAAAUAAUGCUCGAAUGAGACAAAACAUGACAAGCAGCAGAAUAAAGCGGUCAGGUCUCUGCAGACGGGCAGUAUUGUGAAACACAACGGGAUGAAUAUGCACAUACUCUGGAAGCUGAAAGUUGAAAACAGUAGGAGGGGGCUUUAUCCUUCUUGUCCAGCUCUCUCUCAAUUCCCAGCUUCCGGACGCAAAUUUUCAUUUUUAAGACUAAACGGAAUUUAGUACAUUUACAUUGAAGUCCUCUCACAUUUAUUUUUGUGACCUAUUCGUCUAAAUUUAAAUCUGGACUCGUGUACAGAUCAGUGGAAACAUGAUCUGAAGUUGCAAAACAUGUGUCACUUGUAUUCAGUGACUGGAGGUCAUAGUCCCGAUCUGGGAAUCGAAAAAUAUUUUCACUGAAUUACUCACUGUGCAACGGUGUGUAAAGCGUUAUACUGUAGAACUGAACUUUACUGCGCUUUCGAGUUAUAAGAAAAUUUUAAAUAAGCUUUAAUAUAUUCUGUA